GUGUGUGUACCGAAAAUGAGUAAAAGGAAAAUUACAGCUAAACACAAACCCCGCAGAAAAGUAAAAAGAGCCCUGGUCCUUAAUGGUAAGAAAAUCGAAAAACGGUCUAGUCACAAAGGGGUUAAAUUUAUUUUGCCACUUGAAUAUUUUAAAUGACAUCUUCAGGCCAUAGCAGGGAUGAAAUACUGCAAGGAAACAUCUUCAUGUAAUAAAAGAAAAUGUAUCAUACGUUUAUGAACAAUAUCUGCAAGAGAAGAAAACAAAAAUAUGUAUUACAACAUAGCAGUCACAAACUGACGAAAUAUAAAACAUUCUUACACAUAAUUAUAUACUCCGAAAUAUUAGAAAAAUAAAUAUACUGUAUUGUCCUUUAGGUACAAGAGGGAGUCACAGAACAGAUGUAUUUAACACCCCAGGUACAAUAACCACUACAAUGUGUUUUCCUGCAUCAUGAGUGUAUUCAUGUCAGUGAUAACAUUCCUAUGUUGAGCAAGUAUGUGUUUGUUGGGCAACAGAAGAGUGCAGCAGAUACUAUGGAAGAUGAAAACCUUUAGGUCAUCUUCAUGUACUUUUCCCUUUUGUAAACAUGUGUAUUUCUCCUUCUGCCAUUACAAGCAGCAAAACAUAGACAGUGUUGCAAAUCAAACCAAAUCAGGUAACUGCCAGUGCUAUUUUCUGCUUAUGAAUUAUAUGUCACUAGGUCGUACCGCAACUUACAGGAAUGGCGACUCACACAUACAGAGGUACUAGAUACACGUAUUACCGGGACUUAAAGUGGCCGGAUUUAAUGUAGGAAAGAUAAAGAAAAAUUCAGUAAUAGCCAAGGUCAGCAAUAUAGAAAUAUGGAUAAAUGGUAUAACAAGCUGGGUCAAGAUACCAGAAAUAAUCAAGGUCAGAAACAAGCCAAGGUCAAUAUCAAAAUAGAUCGAGAGACUUAAUAUAGGCACUAACGUGUACCAAGGCAGAAACCAUGAUAGGACAAUGAACAAGGGCCCAAAUUAGCAUUAUAUAGGCUAAUAAUUGUUCUGAUUUGUCCACAUCACCUCUGCGACACAAAAAUGAUUGACGUGGUCAGUUUAAGUGUGGAUGUGAUGUUAUCACAAUUGAAUUGAUAAAACGACAUGCCAAUGAAGCGGACAGCGGCUAGAUUUUUGCAGGAAAGAAUGACAGCUGUGUGGAUUUGGUAAGUAUGCAAGAUUUCCCUUUUCAGGAAUGCAUAACCUGAGGGGAGCUGCAUGACCACAUGUAGCCCUAAGCUCGUGCGGCCCGACAAGCAGAGCAUCUUGGGCUUGAGACUAUAUUUAAACUUAAUAUGCAGCAUUUAGCAUUUUCAGGUUUAAUGCUCAAAACUCAGUAGAUGGUAG